rnacentral:rRNA from 1 species
AGAGUUUGAUCCUGGCUCAGGAUGAACGCUAGCGGCAGGCCUAAUACAUGCAAGUCGAGCGGCAAGUCGAGGAGUAAUCUAAGACCUAGAGCGGCGUACGGGUGCGUAACGCGUAUGCAACCUACCUCAUACAGGGGGAUAGCCCGGAGAAAUCUGGAUUAAUACCCCAUGGCACUGCGAAGAGGCAUUUCUAUGCAGUUAAAGAUUUAUCGGUAUGAGAUGGGCAUGCGUCUGAUUAGCUAGUUGGCGGUGUAACGGACCACCAAGGCGACGAUCAGUAGGGGUUCUGAGAGGAAGGUCCCCCACACUGGCACUGAGAUACGGGCCAGACUCCUACGGGAGGCAGCAGUAGGGAAUAUUGGGCAAUGGUCGGAAGACUGACCCAGCCAUGCCGCGUGCAGGAAGAAGGCGUUCUGCGUUGUAAACUGCUUUUACCUGGGAAGAAAAGGCCCGUGCGCGGGACAUUGCCGGUACCAGAUGAAUAAGCACCGGCUAACUCC